GAAAACACUGGGAAACUAAUUGACUUUUCAAGAGAAUCAUCUUUUUGGGUUGAUUUGGAAGGUUGAAGGAGGAGCCAAGAUAACAAAAAUCUAUUUCAAGCAAAUGCAGUUGUCUGCCAGGUCAACGCUGGACCAGCCAGAAUCUGUGAUAAUAAGAACAAUAUGAAAC